AUGGCGGUGUUGGUGGAGCUGACCAAGGAAUACGGCUACGUGGUGCUCGUCGUGGUGGCCUACGCCUUCCUCAACUUCUGGAUGAGCUUCCAGGUCGGCGCCGCCCGCAAGAAGUACAAGGUGUUCUACCCCACCAUGUACGCCACCGAGGCGGAGAACAAGGACGCCAAGCGCUUCAACUGCGUCCAGAGGGGGCACCAGAACUCGCUGGAGAUGAUGCCGCUCUUCUUCGUCACGGUGCUGCUCGGUGGCCUGCAGCACCCGGUCGUCGCCGCCGCGCUGGGGCUCCUCUACACCGUCGCCAGGUUCUUCUACUUCAAGGGCUACGCCACCGGCGUCCCGGAGAACCGCCUCAAGCUUGGGGGGCUCAACUUCUUGGCGAUCAUCGGGCUGAUCCUCUGCACGGCGUCGUUCGGCAUCAACCUUGUCAUCAGGGAGGCGAUCUGA
rnacentral:rRNA from 1 species